AUUCAAUUAUGGGAAUAUCUGAAAAUUUGCAAACUUUGUGAAUUUUUAUCCAAUAUAAAUUAUGCAUGAAACGAAUUAGAAAAAUUCUCAGUUAUACUACUUGCUUAAUAGUACAUCCUUGAAUUUUUUCAAUAAGUUAGAAGUGGAAAAAAAUACAAGCAUAUGAUACUGCUUCAAAUUCAUUAUUUCACCAUUUGAAAACUUUUUUUCGAAUGGUGAUUAUUAUUCUAGAAAGCUAUAAAAAUUGUAUUAUGUACAGUAUGUCAGGUAGUAUACCCGUGAAUUUUUUCAACUCUUGUAGAAUCGGAAAUAAAAAUUGGAACAGUUCUCGAUAGUUAACAAAAUUUGAAAAUCAUGUUGCAAUGCUCAAAUGAUAAAGAAAAGAUUCGGAAUACACUUCCUUAGCUGACCAUCUUCAAUCUUCUAUUUUGCAUAGAAAUCCGCUGUCUAUCGAUAAGAGUUUUAGAAACUUUUAAUUGAACAGAAAUUAGUUGGCUGUAAUAAUCUCAUUUAAACUUAACGCUGCAUGCUACUUUCUCAUGCAUUCCCAAUUUUUACCUAGUGAUAUCGCGGCUAGUUUUUAAGCGCUUUUACACAAGUUCAAUCAUGAAAAGUCUCAAAUUCCUACGAAAUCGACUAUUUUUUACCAGACGCUAAACUAUUAACGCCUUUUAUAUGAAUAGUACGUAUUUAAAUUACGUACGAGCUCGUUACAAGCACAAGUAGUUUAAUCGUCGCGAAAUUCGUAAGUGAUGGAACUGCAAGAAGACAUAAUAAGACUGGUGAAGUGCCGUAAAUUUAUUUUAAAAAGUUUAUCGAAAGCUGACUUGCACAAUCUCGAAACUGUUUCAAGAGAUAUGCUAAAUGUCUAAAUAGAACAAACACUUUUAAUUAAGAUUAAUAAGAAUCUCUUAUAAAGUUAGAAAUACAUUGUACAUAAAAUGUUACGAUCUAUAGAAGCAAUAAAUCUUGUAACUAUUGAUAACUACUAUUCUAAUGAACGACGUCGUGUGAGAUGAUCGAAUUAUAUUUUGGAUACGAAGCAAUAAAAGGAGAAUGAUCUAUUUUGUAAGCUUGUCGUUUGAUCGAUGUACAAAACAAAGGCACUGCCAUGACUUCAGAAUCUACGUCAAUUAAAUACUACUAUACUAUAUAAAUUCCUAUUUUUUUACAACUCUCGCGCGAUCUUAAAUUUUGUGUGAAUUUAAAUUUUUCACGUACAUUUAGAAAAUGAAUGAUAUUGAAAUUUUGAUUUGAACAUAAACGUCGAUUAUCUCGCAGAUACAAUAUAACGUUUGAAUAAUAAUAAAAAGUGCAAUUUAAUUAUACGUUCGGGUAUAAUAUAUUUGACAACUAAUUUAUGUUUUUCGUGGCAAAUGUUACAUUGUACGGUGUAAUUGAUAGUACAAAAUGUAAAUGUGAAAUUGAUGGUACGCUUGAAGAAUGAGAACGAAUAUUUAAUUUAAUGGAUACAGGAAUGUCGAAGAUAUUUUUCUUCACGUACAAUAUUAAAAUAUAAGCUGAAUGUCUCAAUCUCUGAUUACUGGCUUAUUUUUCUACAAUUUUAAGAUAACAUAUAAAAUGAUGGGAAAGUAAAAUAACAUAAAGUUAAGUGAGUUAAAAUUGGAAAAGUGAAAUUGGUACAUUUAUUUAAUUAGUUGAAUGCAUAUGGCUUUCAAAUCGUAUUAUUUCUUCGUUUAUUUAAAACAACUGUUUAGGUGAAAAAAUUAAGGAACACUUUAUUUCAUUUAAAAACCUCUUCUCGAGAGUACCACGUUUUAUACAACAUUCUAUGUACAAUUAAAACAUGAAUUAAAUCAGUUUAAUUUACAUAAAAAACAGUUCGGAGAGGUAAAAGAACUUAUACAAAAUGUGUAUGUGUAUGUGUGCAUCCAAAUCUGAUUACAAUAAUUGUUUUUUGUAAUAUAUAUAUAUAAAGUAAAA